UGCCAGCAGCCGCGGUAAGACAGAGGGUGCAAACGUUGUUCGGAAUUACUGGGCGUAAAGCGCGUGUAGGCGGCUCUGUAAGUCGGAUGUGAAAUCCCGUGGCUCAACCAUGGAAGUGCACCCGAAACUGCAGGGCUAGAGUAUCGGAGAGGAAGGUGGAAUGCUUGGUGUAGAGGUGAAAUUCGUAGAUAUCAAGCGGAACACCGGUGGCGAAGGCGGCCUUCUGGACGAUUACUGACGCUGAGACGCGAAAGCGUGGGUAGCAAACAGGAUUAGAUA
rnacentral:rRNA from 1 species